GGGUCAUUAGGUUGGUCGUGCCACCGGUACGUACUGGUCUCACUGAUUCCUCCUUCCUGAAGAACCGUAAUGCCAUUAAUUUGGUGUUGCGAGGAAACAGGACUGUUACUUUGAAAAAAUUAGAGUGUUUAAAGCAAGCUAACGCUUGAAUACAUUAGCAUGGAAUAAUGAAAUAGGACGAUCGAUCCUAUUUUGUUGGUUUCUAGGAUUGACGUA
rnacentral:rRNA from 1 species